UACGUAGGGUGCGAGCGUUGUCCGGAAUUAUUGGGCGUAAAGGGCUCGUAGGCGGUUUGUCGCGUCGGGAGUGAAAGUACCACCUGGCUUCGAACGUGGGUGCUUGGACUUUCGAUACGGGCAGACUGGAAGGUGAUGGCAGGGGGAGAACGGGAAUUCCUGGUGUAGCGGUGAAAUGCGCAGAGUAUCGGGAAGGAACACCGUGGUGGCGAAAGCGGCGCGACCAUGGACCGACAACUGACGGCUGAGGCGACGAAAGGCUAGGGGGAGCAAACAGG
rnacentral:rRNA from 1 species